rnacentral:rRNA from 1 species
UACAGAGGGGGCAAGCGUUAUUCGGAAUCACUGGGCUUAAAGCGCGUGUAGGCGGGCCGGCACGUCGGUCGCUGAAAUCCCCCGGCUCAACCGGGGAAGUGGCGCCGAUACGACCGGCCUCGAGGGACGUAGGGGGGGCUGGAACUUCCGGUGGAGCGGUGAAAUGCGUUGAGAUCGGAAGGAACGCCCGUGGCGAAAGCGGGCCCCUGGACGUCCACUGACGCUGAGACGCGAAAGCCAGGGGAGCGAACGGG